rnacentral:tRNA from 1 species
GGAGAGGUGCUGGAGUGGCUGAACAGGGCUGCCUGCUAAGCAGUUGUCCUGAGUAAUCGGGACCGGGGGUUCGAAUCCCCCCCUCUCCGCCA